ensembl:snRNA U6 U6 spliceosomal RNA
GCGCUCGCUUCGGCAGCACAUAUACUAAAACUGGAACAGUAUACGGAAGAUUAGCUUGGCCAUGCACAAGGAUGACAUGAAAUUUGAGAGGCAUUCCAUAUUUUU